UACAGAGGUUUCAAGCGUUGUUCGGAUUCAUUGGGCGUAAAGGGUGCGUAGGUGGUGGUGUAAGUCGGAUGUGAAAUCCCGGGGCUCAACCCCGGAACUGCAUUCGAAACUGCCUUGCUCGAGUACUGGAGAGGAGACUGGAAUUUACGGUGUAGCGGUGAAAUGCGCAGAUAUCAGGAGGAACACCGAUGGCGAAGGCAGGUCUCUGGGCCGAUACUGACGCUGAGGAGCGAAAGCGUGGGGAGCAAACAGG
rnacentral:rRNA from 1 species